GCAUUGUACACACUGUGUUUUC
rnacentral:miRNA from 1 species